UGGGGUAAUGGCCUACGAAGGAGACGAAUGCAUAUUUGGUAUGAGAAGAUGAUCAGCCAAGUUGGGGGUGAGACACGGCCCAGAGUCCUACGGGAGGCAGCAGUGGGGAAUAUUGGACAAUGGGCGCAAGCCUGAUCCAGCCAUGCCGCGUGAGUGAUGAAGGCCCUAGGGUUGUAAAGCUCUUUCAACGGUGAAGAUAAUGACGGUAACCGUAGAAGAAGCCCCGGCUAACUUCGUGCCAGCAGCCGCGGUAAUACGAAGGGGGCUAGCGUUGUUCGGAUUUACUGGGCGUAAAGCGCACGUAGGCGGAUUGUUAAGUCAGGGGUGAAAUCCCAGGGCUCAACCCUGGAACUGCCUUUAAUACUGGCAAUCUCGAGUCCGGAAGAGGUGAGUGGAAUUCCGAGUGUAGAGGUGAAAUUCGUAGAUAUUCGGAGGAACACCAGUGGCGAAGGCGGCUCACUGGUCCGGUACUGACGCUGAGGUGCGAAAGCGUGGGGAGCAAACAGGAUUAGAUCCCCUGG
rnacentral:rRNA from 1 species